rnacentral:rRNA from 1 species
UACGAAGGGGGCUAGCGUUGCUCGGAAUUACUGGGCGUAAAGCGCACGUAGGCGGCUUCUUAAGUCAGGGGUGAAAUCCUGGAGCUCAACUCCAGAACUGCCUUUGAUACUGAAGAUCUUGAGUUCGGGAGAGGUGAGUGGAACUGCGAGUGUAGAGGUGAAAUUCGUAGAUAUUCGCAAGAACACCAGUGGCGAAGGCGGCUCACUGGCCCGAUACUGACGCUGAGGCACGAAAGCGUGGGAGCAACAGG